rnacentral:lncRNA from 1 species
AAAUUCUUUCGAUGUGGGACUUAAUUACCUGUUAUAAUUAUAAUACACAAAUACCUUGUUUUUUCAAUGNUGUUGGGNUGUUGGGCUCCCUUCCUAUGUUGAGNAUAGACCCAAAUAAUGUGGACCAUUAUGUGUCACUAGGUUUAGGGGAUAUGGGUCAGAUUAGAAGGGCACAUUAGAGUCAUUUGAAGAGAGGAAAAAACCAAGUGAGAAUGAUAAGAAGAGAUAAAGUC